rnacentral:rRNA from 1 species
UACAGAGGGGGCAAGCGUUGUUCGGAUUUACUGGGCGUAAAGGGCGCGUAGGCGGCUUUGCAAGUGGCGGGUGAAAUCCCUCGGCUUAACCGAGGAACUGCCUGCCAGACUGUGAGGCUUGAGACCGGGAGAGGUGAGGGGAAUUCCCAGUGUAGCGGUGAAAUGCGUAGAUAUUGGGAGGAACACCAGUGGCGAAGGCGGCUCACUGGACCGGAACUGACGCUGAGGCGCGAAAGCGUGGGGAGCAAACAGG